CCAUUGUGAAAGAUUUUUCCCACAGGAGCCUUUUCUGGAAGAUCAGAACAUAAAUUUACUGAAGGAGCAGCUGAUGGCUGCCAUCACUGUAACAGCUCUGAGCAUGCCUUUACCAGGUUGACACAAGUGACUCCAUUUUGAUCCUGAUA
rnacentral:lncRNA from 1 species